AUUGAACGCUGGCGGCAGGCUUAACACAUGCAAGUCGAGCGGGCGCGGUUGCUUCGGUAACUGAGCUAGCGGCGGACGGGUGAGUAAUGCUUAGGAAUCUGCCUAUUUACGGGGGACAACAUUCCGACAGGAAUGCUAAUACCGCAUACGCCCUUCGGGGGUACGCAUGAGAUCUUCGGACCUUGCGCUAUUAGAUGAUCCUAAGUCAGGUUUGCUAGUUAGGCGGGUAAAGGCCUACCAACGCGACGAUCUGUAGCGGGGCUGCUAGGAUGAUCCGCCAAAAUGGGACUGAGACAAGGCCCCGACCUCUAAGGGGGGCAGCAGGGGGGAAUAUUGGACCAUGGGGGGAAGCCUGGUCCAGCCAAGCCGGCGGGGUGAAGAAGGCCUUUUGGUUGGAAAGCACCUUAAGCGGGGAGGAGGCUACAUGGAUUAAUACUCUCGGAUAGUGGACGUUACUCGCAGAAUAAGCACCGGCUAACUCUGUG
rnacentral:rRNA from 1 species